UACAGAGGUCUCAAGCGUUGUUCGGAUUCAUUGGGCGUAAAGGGCUCGUAGGCGGCCUGUUAAGUCGAACGUGAAAUCCCCGGGCUCAACCCGGGAACUGCGUCCGAUACUGGCAGGCUUGAAUUCGGGAGAGGGAUGCGGAAUUCCAGGUGUAGCGGUGAAAUGCGUAGAUAUCUGGAGGAACACCGGUGGCGAAGGCGGCAUCCUGGACCGAGAUUGACGCUGAGGCGCGAAAGCCAGGGGAGCAAACGGG
rnacentral:rRNA from 1 species